CUAUGACCAGACCGGGCUGAUCGCACCUGAUCCCGUCCAAUCUCAGAAGCUAAGCAGUCCCGGGCCUGGCUAGUACCUGGAUGGGAGAUCAAAUAGGAUUGAUAAAACCUGGUAUUUCCUUAGU
rnacentral:rRNA from 1 species